rnacentral:lncRNA from 1 species
UUUUUUUUUUUUUUUUUUUUGUGUUAAAGGUUUUCUUCCACUACAGCAAGUGGUUCUUGGAUGAACCCAAAUUUUGUAGGAGGCAAAAGGCUGGGCCAAGAUAGGACUCGUAUAAGGACUUAAUGGGCAACACUUCUGUGGGUGAUUGGAGUAACGGCUAAUAGAAUGACAAUCGCCAAGCAAUCAUUGCUGUGUGAAAAAUGUCCUUUCCGCUUUAGUAUUAUAGUAGUCUGCGGGCCCGCGCCACGCGCAGGGUAGGCAUAUGUAACCCCUGUUAAUAAUUUGUGUUUGUCUAGUAAUAUUUUGUAAAGUUUGUUUUGUAAAUAUUGAUGUAGGAAAUAAUUUUAUAAUAUGUAAAAUAAUUGUGAGCUAGUUAUUUUUGAUUAAAUGAGGAUUAUUGGAAGGAUUGUUGGUAGGUUAUUGUAUAAAAUGUAGUUUAAUGUUGAAUAAAAAUAUAGCAUAUAUGUGCUGAAAUAGUAGAAUAUGAGAAUAGUAUUGAACGGUGAAAGUGUAAUCUUUAUAGUUAUUAUUUUAUAUUGCAGGAACUUCUACAAGUUUGACAUCCAAUAUCUACAUUUGAUAUUUGUUCAUAAUUAUGAGAAUAUAGUCUGGACUAAUAAUAUGGUAUUGUAGCAUUUUUUCGAACUUUGAUGUUCCAACAUCUGUGUUGGUAAGAAAAGAUGAAUAUGCUAUUUUUGUUUGGCAAUAUAUGAGCAACAUCGUCGUGUUAGAGUUCUUGCAAAAUAAAAUAGAUGAUUACAGUAAACAUGUAUGAUUUUUUCUUUUUUUUUUAAUGUCACCAUCCAAACAAAACUUCUGUGUUUGAAAGGAUAAUCAGCAUUUAAUGCUAGAGAAAAAGUAACACUAUCAAUGGGAAAUAAAAAAAACGCAAACUCAAAGUGAGAAUUUUCCAAUGAAGAAGGCUGCAUUCAAUAUCACAUGAGGAGCUACCAGGGCACCGACGCAAAUGGACCGCAAUAGCCAAAAAUAUCAAUCCAUACCGAAAUAACCAACGGACACCCUUUUUCUGUUCAUUCAGUCAACUCUCACUUUUAUAUAGUUAGAUUAGAUUAGAUUUGGAGAAUUGUUAACGGCACUCUAUUUUUUUUUGCUAGUGACAUUUCCAUUAUUAUUUUUAACAUAUGAUAUUUAUUUAUUAGACUAUAUGAUAAAGUAAAAGAUGGGAAUGCGAUUAACAAAUAGUGAAGUGUGUUAAUAUUUCCAUUGUAUUUAACGGAUAACUAGAGUUUUAUGUAUUAAACUUUGUCGUGCUUUAUGAGUAGUCACCUUUAAAUGUCGAAAAAAUGUAUUGUUCUUUAGUACACUUAGUGAUGAUUAGAAAGAUAAAAACAUAGUGCUAAUAUGUAUUUUUAGUGAUAUUGUACAUAAAAGCGUGUUACGGCAAAUUCUUACUAUGGUUAAUUAAAAUUUUAGUUUCAUGGACACAUACCCACAUUACUCUACUUCAAUCAAAAUUACAUAAUCAUCAAUCAUCACGAUCAACGUACUUUCAAAUACAAUUUGCAAGAGAAAUUUUUUCCUCAUAAAUUUCUUAAUAAACUGUGUCAAGGGCAAAAUUUUUGAAUUUAAUGGAAGAUAUUUCUUUCUUGUUAUAUGAGAUAAAUGUACUUGAUAAAUUUCUUUUUUUAUAUUAUUGAAAGGAUUUGUCACAUUUGAGAUCAAGUGAAGGUGUGUAUUUUAUAUGUGUUUAACUUAGCCAAAGAGUCUCUUUCUUGAGUAAUUUAGUACAGUCAAUUUGUUCAAAACGACAUCAUAUUUAUAUUAUGGAGUUAUAUAUAACAUGUUGCGAAAAGAAAAGAAAAAGUUGGCUAUUAACAUCUUGAAAACAUAGAAUGUAAAAGAAAAGGCCAUAAAUAAAAUACUUUGUUUUGUUGUGAAACUAUAUCUUAUCUCUGUUAGCAUUCAUCAACUUUAGAAUAACGUAGCUUGGAAUUUAAAAUGGUACUAUUAAAAUCAUGUUAACACUUUGAAUAAAUUAUAAAUGAGCUCCCCUAUUGUUUAAUGCUCGUUUGUAUAAUCCUUUACUAGUUACAAAAUCAAUAAAUGAGCUCCACUACUUGGGCUGCUGGAAGUCAUCCACUGUAAAGAAGUCACUGAAAAUGUCAAGGCUACCCCAUUAAAAGGCGCCACAGUUACUGCCCAAAAAUUCUGAAGUUCUCUAUUUCUUCCAUUGGCUUCUUAGUUUCUACUUUCUAUUACAAAGGUAUUAAGGAGGACAACUUCCAAUAGUUUGAUACUUUCAAAGGGCUACGUGUAACUUUUGAAACAUAAGAGAUCGUGUGAUAAACUUUAAAUUGCAGUGAUUUAAAAAGGAUAGGUUCAUUAGUUUGAUACUUUCAAGGGGGUUGCAUGUAAUUUUUGAAAUAUAAGAAAAUCAUGUGAAAAAACACUAAAUUAUAGAUCAUUAAAAAAAAUUUACCCCUGAUUCUUUCUAAUAUGGUAAAUACACAUUAAAUCAUACCAUAAGCUCUUACACAUGCACUGAAAGAAUAAGGGGCAAGGUGGAGAGGAAAUUUAAUGACACAAAACCCCUAGUGUUUUGCGGUAUUAACACAUUCCUACCCAUGACAGAGAUUCUAUGCUCUGCUAUUAUAACUUUUGAAACACACACAACAACUGCUGAUUAUGUCAACUGGUUAGUUUUACAUCGUCUCUUGAAUGAAAACAAAGAAGAUGCUUGAGAUUAGGACAAAUGGGAAGAACCCCAGCUUAUGUAAUGUUAAGCAGACUGUACAAAUUGACCAUUUCAUUUGCGCCUCACAACAUCUGUUUCUGAUUGUUGGGGCCUUCAGUUGUGGAAAAAAUCUAGGAGGGUUGUCGGAAUAGUGGUCUGACCCAAGAGGCAUGAGAAACUAGGGCUGUCGAUCGAGUCUAAUGAGUCGGAUUUUCAUGAGCUUGAGUCCAGUUCAUUUAAUUUAUUAUAUUUUUGGUCUUCGAGCUUAAGUUUCGAAUUAAUAAAUGUGAAAUUCAUAUUCAAUUCACAUAAUAUUCGGAUUGUGAGCUUUAUUUAGGCUUAGCCCAAGCUCACUUAUUACCUUAAUUUUCUAUCUUAAUAUAAUUACUGUGACCCCCACUUCUCCCUAAGGCUAAUCAAAGGGUAUCCGCGGGACGCCUGCCUAGCUCUCGCCAGGACUCAAGCAAUUCCAUUCAAACUUAUUAUCGGACCACACAAUACGGUCAAUAACUUAGAUACAAUAAAUGCGGAAGCGUUCAAGUUUAAUAAAAGUCAUCCGUUAUCCAACCCGCACAUCGGGUGUUCAACAACCAUCAUAAAUUCCAAAUAUACAUCAUGCCCCAAAAGUUACAUUCGGAUUCCAAAAAUACAACCCAAAAGCCAAAAUAUAGUCAAAAGUAAUAGAAACCCUAAACAAAAGCGUAUCAGGAAGGUUUCUUCGAUACCUCGCCAAGUUCAAUCCUGUUAAGGAAAACAAAUCUACAGGGUGAGCAAAAACGCCCGUGAGGCCAAGAACACAAAUGCAGGCACAUAACUCAGGUAACAAGUCCCAAGUAACAAUUCAAGUAAUAAUUUGCAAGUAAUUAAUAAUGCCAACAAAAUAUAACCAAAAACAAUUCAAGGAUAUGGUAGCUCUCAGGAGUUAAGUUCCACAUUUUGCCGAUGUCAUUCGUAUACCUCCCCGCGAUGACUCUCCGUCAACCGGGUUGAUAUUUCAUAUCCGUAGUUCACCACUUACUUCUCAUCCGUCCACCCCACACCGCUUCAGGCCCGCACGACAUUUAGAAGGCUAUACUCCACGAGUAUGCCAAGCGAGAUCUCUCAAAUAGAUCAAGCUUAUCAUGUAAUUCUCAUGGCUCACCAAGGUUCCCGACCAGGCCCAUGCCGGCUCGAGUUCCAAGGUCGGCCUAUGAGUUUGGGCAUCGCCCAUGUAUCAUGUAAGUGUCGAGGAGAUUCACUCCAAUGACGUAUGCAGCCAUAACAUACCAUGUCAUGUAUUCAAGCAUUUGAUAGAUCUAAGCAGGUAUUUCAAGUCAUGUAAACCAGGUAAAUCAUGUUAUGUAUGAGUCAUUUGUUUUCAAAUGAGAACGAGUGCGAUAAAGUACACACUCGACUCCAUUUUUAAAAAAAAUCAAGUAGGCUAAGCAUGUAAUCAAAUCCAUAGAGUUUAAGUAGUCAAACACUUGACACUCACCAAGUUACGCAAGCAAGCAGGUUGGAUUGAGUGUUCAAACUUCCACGGUAGGGUCCUCUUGGAGGUCCUCGUGCGUGCCUGAACAUCGAAUAGAAGACCAUUACUAUAGGUCCCUAAGAGACGAGGAGAUCGAACACAAAUGUGGUCUGGAAAAAUUUUGGAAAUUUCGUUUGAGUUCGUCUUUGAAGUUGGAUUCGCAAAAAGGUACGAGACUCGAGUAAUAUCGGAUUAUUAUUCUUGAAAUCAUUGGAUGGAAACGAGUACGUGCGAAUAAAUCUCAAAACGAACGACCAAAGUUGAAAGUGGACUGGCCACAUCACAAUCCGGCCGGAAUCUGGCCGGAUUCAAGGCCGGAUUCUAGAAAAAUGCUUCCCACGCGGAUUUCUUUUGAAAUUCCAGAAUUCUCGAUUUUUGGUAAAAUCUUUGAAAAAUCAUAACUUCUUUUUUACUAGUCAAAAAUUGAUAAACUCGGUACCGUUGGAAUCUUCUUUGAAAGUACUAAAAGUUUUUAGAAGACACUGUUCCAUGAAUCUAAAUGGAAGGUAUUAAAAAAUGAGCUUAAAGUUGCUGUUCCAGAUCACCCAGAAUUGAGCCGGGGUUGGUUUUUUGCUAACUUUGGAAAUUCGGCAGAAUUCACUCGUUGCAAACCAGCCCUUGAAAUUUAUAGCUCAAUUAUAGGUGCAAGUACGGUUUAGGACAGAACAAGCGGAUUGAGAAUCGGAGUUUUGAUCACCAAGAUAUGGUAGCUCAAAGUUGGGAAAAAUUCAAGACUGGAGAAGAAUUUCCAGAUUUGAACUUCCAACAUUGGAAGUUUAGUUAGGUAUUGAAACGAACUUGGAUUGGUACCAAAAUUGGCAGUAUUUUACUCUUAUAUGAAGGGUAUCUCUCUAUCAAGUUUCAUAGAAAAAUACCUUCGGGAAGGCAGUCAACGAACCAACUGAAGUUUGGAAAAAUUCUUAAGGCAAUCUGCCUUUAAUCCAUUUCUUUCCAAAUCCAAUCGUUUGGCUAAGAAAAUCCUCCAAUCAUGAUUCAUAUGUGAAUGGAAAGUCUAAGGGACAUUCAUGGUACAUUUGGUAGGUGUUUAACACCAAGAAUUUCAUUUAGUAAGACCACAACAAGUCUCAUCUCAAAUCUGUCCAAAACUAAGUUUUUCCAAAACAGAGCAGUGUUCUUGUUUUGAUCACAACUCAGUCGAAUUAACUCGGAAUUGAGAAUGGUUUAUGGCGUUGGAAAAUAAAUUCAUAGGGCUAAAAAUUCUCAGAAGAAAACGUUUUGAAAUUUGGCAAACAACCAGCUCGAAAUUGAGCCUCAAGUUGCUGCCUCUACAAAUCAUUCCAACAGAAUGGAGAAACAGGACAGCUAUCUUAAAACGAAUGGUUCGACUCCUACAUAUGGAAUCAGAAGGUGCAUUUUAUACCGUUGGAAAGGUAUGGAUGUCUAGUUUCAAAUGCCACCAACGGAACUCGAUUUUGACAUCGGAGAACAAAGUUAUGGUCGAAAUACUACCGCUGGACAGGGUUAUCCGAAAACAGUUUUCCAGCUUGACUAGUUCACAAAUAAAUUCAUUUGCCCAACCAAACGUUAAUGUUUUCCAAUGAAAAUUUUUACACAUCUACUACAACAUAUAAACAUCAGGUUCAAGCCAUUAGAUCAUCAAAAAUUGGCCUUAUCAUGGCCGAAAAAAACAGGGGCAGUUUCAGAAAUUUUUGUCAUGGCCUCAACUUUUGAGUUUCCAACAAUAAUACUCCAUAAAUCUAUCAUUUUAACCACUAAACUACCACUAUAAACAGCAUCAAUCACCAUAACAGCCAUCAAGACAGAGGUGGGAGUUCAUAGAGCCCACCUUCCAUUUUUUUCAACAACAACAACAACCCAUAAGAAAUUAAGAGCUAAAAGAUAUACUAGAACUUCCAAAAAUUGAAGUUAGAAGGCUUGAUCAUGACUUACUCUAGUUGAUGUUCAAGUCAGAAAUUCAGUCCCUCCUUGCUCCUAAGUGAGCCGUGAAAAGCCUCCCCUUUUUAGCUAGAUAUGAACUCCAAGGCUUAGGCUAAGUAGUGCUAAAAUUUGAGAAGAUUUGGUGGUGAUUUGAGUGAGUUUUGUAGAGGAAAUGUUGGAAAGUUUCGGUUGUUCCUUUGCUGUCUGCUAGCCGGCCAUGGAAGCUUGGAGAAAUGAAAUGUUUGGUCUGAUUCUAUUGUGUACAAAGAAAGCUUAACGUCUAAUAGUUUAAGUGCGCAAAAGUCAUCCGCCAAUAGUGCGCAUACGCGUGCGUUUUGUGCUUGAUUUCUCUUAAGUUUGUUGCACUAGUGCACUAAACCUCUAGGGCACUUACAUUCAUAUAAAUAUUAUUCAUUCUUAAUUGUCCCAAAAUAAUGGUCCAAAGUCCCUCAAUUAAGCGCGCACGUGAAAACACGUAUUUCCAAUUUAGGCGCAAUAAAGUAAAAUUUUCGAGAAAUUCUUAUAACGAUCGUACCACUAACUAUCAUAUGAGUAUUUAAACCUAAAUUUACCUAUUUUAGGACCAUUGUAUAUGUCUCAAAUUUUUGAGCUUAUUGAACUCCCAAUUGGCUAAAGUUUUCAGACACGUUUUCACUUUUCCACUAAUCAAGCUUUUAAGAAAAUAAUUUUUGAAACGAGACACUUUAAAAAUAUAACGAAACGAUAAAACUAUGUACUUAGGUCUAAUAAGGUUAGAAAAUAUUAUUCGUGGCAAAAAUCCAAAUAAAUAAUUAAUUAAGCUAAAAUUAGAGAUUUUAAAUAAUAAAAUUUUCGAGUCCUCACAAUUACUAUAACUAUUAAGUUGUAAAACUAAUUUAACAUUUACAAGACUAUAAUAUUAAAACUAAGCACGAACAAAUAAUAAUUCUUCAAAAGUACAGAAACCAAAAAAUUUUCAACAAUAUUUAUAUUUAAUUCUUUCAAAAUACAUGAAAAAUAGUAAUAAAACAUGUGGUCAUAAGCCAAUACAUCUUUAAAAGUUGAAACUUUUUUAUAACCUUGUGAUUUGAAUCCAAACAUGCUUGAUGAUUUGUGUUUCUAGAACAAAAAGAAAUCAACUAAUAUUAUACCAAUACAAAAAUGUACUCAACCAAUAAGAAAGGUAGAGAUUCAGUUAUGCAUUAUUAAUAUUGUCUCUCAAGAAAGCUCAUAAAAGAGUCUUCGCGGUGUAUUUUUGUAUUUUGUAAUUUAUAUAUAUUUAGUAUUUAGUAAAAUAUAUAUUUGGAUAUAUAAUUAUACAUAAUAUCAAAAUAUAAACAUUAUAUAUAUAGGUAACUAAAGGAUCGGACAUAUAUUGGGCUUGAGCCUAAUAAGGCCUAAAUUCGACUCAUAUUUAAUUCGAGCCUAAUUUUUAAGUUCAAUCUCAGACCGGCUCACUUAAAAAUCGGUCUUAUUGGACUUUUUGUCAAGCCGAACAAGCUGUGCACGGGCUGGCCCAACUCCAUUGACAGUCCUACAAGAAAUUGUUGUCCUUAAGGAUAAAAAUGUACCCAAAUAAUAAUAAUAAUAAAUAAAAGGAAAAUGACAAUCUACUUUGGCUACUUUGUUCUGCCCAUUUUCUAGUUCUUGAGAAAUAAAACGAGAACAUAUUUAUAUUUGGAAGUUUUCAAGCACAUCAAACUUAAAGGAAUUUAACAACUCAUAUGAAGGCUGUACUUAGGGGUGGCAAUUUUCGACACAAUCUGAAAACACGACACGAACCUAACACGAAAUUAAUGGGUUUAGGUUGAGGUUUGGGAAUUCGGGUCAGAAUCGGGUUGGACCCGAUGAACCCGAAAAGAAAACAGGUCGAUUUCGGGUCAACCGUGGUGACCUGAUAUGACCCGUUUACGAAUUAAAAAUAAUUUAAUAAACAUAAAAAUAAUUUUAUCUAACUAAACUAAGUUAUUCUUUUUUUCAAAGGCAUUAAUUACUUAAUCCUAAAUGAAUUUAUUUAAUUUGUGUGAAGUUGAAAUUAUUAUAUUUGGACAAAUAAUAUAUUAUAUUAUUUUUUAUUUUUAUACUGUUUUAAUUUAUUUUAUAUUUUGUUUGGGAUAAAACACUUUUACGGUGUUUAAUUUAUUUUAGAUUUGGUUUGGAAUUAUUUAUUUAAAUUUUUAUUACUUGAUUAUGUAAUUAGUUUUGUGAGAAAUUGAUUUUAUUAGAAAUUACAGUGAUAAAUUAAUAAAUUAAAAUUAAGUUUCGGGUCAUUUCGGGUCGACCCGCCAACCCGCCAACCUGAAAUUUUCGGGUUCGGGUCAGCAUACCUGACCCGUCACGGGUUGGCGGGUCGGGUUCGGGUCAACAGAUUUUCUGACGGGUUGACCCGAACCCGACCUGCCAACCUGAUUUGGACCCGAAUUGCCACCCCUAGCUGUACUAUUACUUCAAAUCCUUUUCUAAUGUUAUUUGUGUGACAUCAAUGUUUCUGUUUGAUAUUAAAUAGAGAAACUUAUUGUAUUGAAUUUUCUUAUGAAACAGAAUUGGAUUAGGAAGACACUGCAUAAAUGUUAAUUUGUAAAAGAGAAAAGUAUACUAAACAAGAAAUCUCAAAAACAAGAAAGCUGGUUUUAUCUCAAAAAGAAAUGCAAACAAAUUUGUGUUAGGAAAUAUUCAUGAUUCUAAACUUCUAUGAACCUAACUAUAAUGAUGCGAGAAUGGAUCAAACAUCUAUUAAGUUGUUUGCCACUAUUACUCUGUCACAUAGAACUCUAAGAAGAAGAAGAGCUUUGCACCAUCUUCACCAUAUUUAGAAGAACCCAGCCCCUGCUCUGCAAAAUGCUCAUCGUUUCCUUUAAGUUGGCUGGAACUGUUUCAUCGGUAAAGUACUCAUCUCUGGCCACCUCUGCUGAGCAAAAUCUCAAAGCAUAUGAUUUCAACAUGGGCUUGGCCAGCUGCCAAAUCGGCUGAAAUAUGAAAGGAGCAUCAAUGAAGAGGACUUCGUUUAGCCUCCUUGGAUAGUAGUAGUAGAAUACAUCAAACAAAAAUGUAAGAGACCUGAGAUCUGCAUUUUCUGUACCAAAACCUCGAAGAUCAAUUAUUACAAGUAUCUGUUCCUUCCCAGCUGGAAGCUUACUAAGUGCUUUCUCAACUAAGAAAACACAUAAUUUUUCAUCUUCAUGGAAAUCAUGCUUCCCAGGGAAAUGCUUGGAUGCUUCUACUAUUAUUACCGGUCGGCUGUUGACAUCAAGAUAGUCAUGCACAUAGGCUUUCCCACUUUCAGCUGCUGAUCUUACUGAUUCUUCUCAAAGUUCUGAUACGCCAAAUUUAUGAUACCAUCUUAUGGCUUUUCUCAAUUUGGACACUGCCUCUUCAACAGAAAAUCUUCUGUCCUUCAAAAACCAAAAAAUCAGCUCUUCAUCAUCUUUUCCAUUUUUUCCAGCUGGAAGACUGCUACAUUCUUUUUCAAGCUUUUCUUUAACUUCCACAACUAACUUUUGGGCAUCUUUUGGGGCCAGAGCACAGUGGCGCCGAGAAGCUUACGAAUUCAAAUGGGUUUACUUGAAAAGAAUGAGGAAUUGAGAUUCUUGAAAUGGUUACCCAAUGGAGGCCGGAGUCCCAGUUGGAAUGCCAUUUGAUGUAUGAUUGGAGGCCGGAGUCCCGGUUAUUCAUGCUUAAGUGAUUGGGAGAUGGAUAAUCUUCUUAUUGAAACUAAGAUUUACAUUUUUUUUGGGGGGUCAUUUCUGGUGAGGGCUGCAGAAGACUACCCUGUUGAGGAUAUUGUUUGUUGAAUAUUUUUUGGUUUAAUUGGGUUUCCUUGGUUUGGUAUAGUUUGGUUUGGUAUAGUAUAGUCAGUUAGCUAGGAAGCUCCAAGUUCAUAUAUUUGCAUAGGAAAGCUCAGGCGAAGCUAAAAUUAAUAAUUUAAGAUUCUCCAAUUGCAUUCUCAAGUACAUGCAAGUCCAAGUUCCAAAUUCAAACUUUCCUUUGCUUCUCCAAUAGAACCAAUUUCGAAUUCCAAUCUCACAAUAUUCGCCCUUUAUCAUAUCAUGAUACCGCAUUUUUUCUUAUGCAAUUCAAAGUAUUUUUUUUAGCUUUACUCUUCACAGAAUCUUGAUUUAUGCCCUUUUAUGGAGCAUGAAUGGCUCAAUUAAUAAUUAACACCGCCAAUUUAUUGCCCCAUUUUCUGAUUUCAAUAAUGGUCGCCCGAGGAGUUGUAGGAAUGGUAAACCGGUGAUGAAAUGGAAAGUAAAGAAGAAAUCAAAUGGAUCGUUUUAGAUUGGAGCAUUAUAUCAUAUUGAUUGUUACCAUAACUCCAAGUGGGGAUUUUUUUUUUUUUGUGUGACCAUAUAUCUAUUGCUUUCCCAAGUUGUAUGCCUAUUUAAGCAAACAGCCUUCAUGACACGUGAAGAAUAAGAACUUUUCCAUAUACAAGAUUUAAGUGGUGCAAAUUCGAGGAGUUUUUUAAAGUAACAAAAUGAGCCUAAUUUUCACCACUGAAUAUUUUGCUUGUAAAAUGAGCACGAGUUUAAAUGGUGCCAUGAUCAUAGUCUUCAAAUCAUUGUCUAAACCCCAAUGAAGACUUCAGAAUGCGGACAUUGAAUUAAUUCAUACGAUUAUUGAAGGUUUUUCAAAAGAAAUUCUGAAUUUUAAAGUAUGGAUUAUUGAAAGCCUUAAGAAAAAGGUGUGGUCUUUCCAUAACGAUACAAGUCUCAGGCAUUUCUUCUUCCUCGACCAAAGUCUUCAAAUCAAGCUUUUUUUUUUUUUUUUUAAAUUAAGGAAGGUUUUUUGCAGUCAGGAACUGGUAUAAGUAGAUAAUUCAUACUACUAAAUAGAUGUUGGCUUCUUGUUCUCAUCUUAAUACAUUUUUUUGCUCUAACACGUUAAAUUAAAAGGCAGUGACAAAUAGUAACCAUUCACUUGGGUAUUCUUAAAACUACAAGAACGGUUUUUUUAUCGAUGUCUUUCAAAUCAAGAGGAAAACAAAUUACAUAAACAAUGUAUAUUACUUGGUCUAGAAUGUUGUUACAACAAAUAUUCAUGCAUGCAGGAAUUUCUGCUAGGCGCAUAUCUCAAAUAGUUCAAGCUCAUAUGGUUUGAAUUAGCAUAUACUAAUACUACUACAUUUUCUAUUACUCCUGUAAAUAUUAAAUUCUUUAUCGAAUAUAUGAUGUUGUCGUUUUCUGUAGGUGAAUAAAUAGUAAUACAAAAAUAAAUACAAAAAAUCGCAUUGCUAAAGAGGGAAAGGGAAUUUCCAUAAGUCAACCAUAUAUAUUUAUCCUAUCGUUGAAUUUUUUCCCCCCGGGUAUAAUAAGCGCAAAAUAUUGAAACUAAAUAGAUAAUAAUGUCUUCUUUAACUUUACUACAAUACUUCCUUCGAAGCAAAAGAAAAACCAUUAUUAGCGGUACUUUGCAAUUGAAAAAUGACGAGUUUGUGUGGGAGAAAGAGUUAAAAUUUAUACUUAGAAAAUGUGGCUAUCCUAUAAUAGUUGGAUUUUUAAUGGUAUCCAAAAGCUAUCCUUUCUUGUCUACAGAUAUGUUCUCCAUCCGUUACUCUAAUUCCUCAUUUUAGUUGCAAAGAAAAUGUAAAAGUUGAGCUGUGCUUCUUUGACAAAUUUGGAUGCGUUUCCAUUGGCGUUUUCACUUUAACUUUCUCAACCAUUGUUGUUACAGGGGUUCAUGUUUUCUGAUUGAAUGGGGGCGUUCAACCUUUUUGAUUGUGAACAAUAUCUCCAAUGGUUGUUGCAUCCGCAAAGGACACUAUUAAUUUUCAAGAUGAAAUUGUAAAAAGCAAAACGAGAACUAUAAUUGUUCCUUGGAAACUUGAUUUCAUGGUUUUCCUUGGAAAAUGUACUUGAAAUAUAAUUUGGUCUUAAUUAUUGAUCCUCGAGAAUUAGAAUUAAAAUGGACAUCUUUUAUUUUCUUUGAUUUUUUCAAGAAAUGGGGGCAAAAAACCUUAUUUGAAUUGUAUAUAUGAAAUUAAUUGACUCGACAAUUUUUUGAGUAUUUUCAUUAGCCAAAAAUUAAGUUUUUUUUACUUGGCUCAAUAAUCAGGCUUGCGAUUUCAAUUACUUUAAACUUAGUGUUUAAUCAAAAUGAAAUCAUUUGGCCUUCUAAAUGAUUAUAAUGGCGUGGAUUUGAGGCGGGGAAGCCCUCUCCAUCCCUCACCCCGUUUUCCAGAAAGCUCCUCUGCCCCUGCCCGAAUCCGCCCCAACUUCUACGAUUCUUGACACACGAGCAGAUUUGUCAAAGAAGCCCAACUGCCAAUUCAGGCCGACUGACAAGAAAAACGUUCUAUAAAUUUGAUUCUGGCCCAAGCCCCAGUAAACCAAGAAAAGUAGAUAGCCAUUGGUGUUCACCCAGUGGAAAUGCAAAAUUGGAUCCUGGACAAUCUGAAAGAAGAAGAAAUGAUUCCAUUGCUUAAACCUGGAGCGAUUUCCUGUGCUCAGACAUACAUAGGUAUAACAGCUUCAUUUCUUUUAUAUAAACUCAUUACUUUCCUUUGUUAGCAAAUCAGCAAUAAAACUAAGCUCUCCCUCAAGAUGCCUUUACACAUUGGCAAUUUUACACUUCCAAAGCAAUAAAGCAUUCAAUUCCAGCUAUACAUAUGGCGGCUGGUCCUGAAGAAGUUGAAUAAUAAAGAUUGAAUGCCAGAGAGUUGCUCAUCCGAAUACGCAUGAAAGAUGAAUUAGAUGGCAAUUUCCAAAUUCAUUCCAAGUUCCUCCAUCAUCAUUGGUUGUUGACAUCUGCUUGGAGCAAACCUUCUGCCAUCCAAAGUUCGAUUAGCAUCUAUCCUUUCAUCAUAGUAUCCUAAGGAAAUAUAGAACAAUAUGCAAAACAUUUCUUAAUGGAUGGAGAUGGUAAACAAUCAAAACUCAAUUUAAGUAUUUCCAUGACACCAUCUUCAUCUCCACUCUGAAAUUUGAAAGCUUAUUUUCAAAACCAAUUGCCACUCGUCUUUUCUCUUCAUGCGCAAUCCUCCCAUUACACUUGCACAGUGGUAGACCACCACAUUUUUUUAUAAUUUCCUUUUUCAUGACAUGCAAUUUUUUGGGAAUUUCUCCACCUGCAAUGGCUUUCUUUGUUAGCUAGACCAACAAUCGUCAUCAUCAGAUAGCUUUCUAGCACAUAAGGAUCAUGUGUGGCCACAAUGGAUGCAGUUUGUUGUUUACGAGUAGUCACAACACACCAAUUUCCAUUAGUUGCAUUUAGCCCCAGUAAUGAACCAAAAAAAUCAUCCCACAAGGUAAGAUUUUGCGUCCAGACAUCAUCAAGAACAAGAAAAAAAUUUUUUCCCAAAGUUGUUCUCGAAUUCCUGGACGAUGACAUCCCUACUGUCAUUUUAACAUUUCUUCUUGUGAGUGCUGCUCUAAAAUCAUUUUCAAAAGCCUGGUCACGUCAAAAUUGUCGGACACACAAACCCAAAUUUUUUUCUCAAAAUGGCUAUGAACGUGACUAUUUUUGUAUACAGAUUGAGCUAAAGUUGUCUUUCCCAAUCCGCCCAUCCCAAGGAUGGGAAUUACAGAAACGGCUUUUUCUGACAAGCUUAGCAAGGUCUCACCAGCCUUGUUUCAUCCUUAGCUCUUCCUACAAUAAUAAUGGCCAGCAAUAGAAUCCGUCUCUCUAUUUAGUGUGACUUUAGCAGUAGUAGAAGGGGGAAACUUGCCCUUUGGAAUCUGAUCAGUCCAAAAUCAUUGGCUUCUUUAUUGAUCUUAUUCAACUUCUUGUUGAUGUCCCUAAUCCUAGAGGCCAUUCUCCGUCGGAAAACAAUAUUAAUGUCAGAGGACAGGAUGAAGGAGCGCACCUUGCCACGAGAUGGCGACGAAGAGCUUCAUAAUUCAGCUCGUCAAACAAAUUCUCGGCAUCAAACGCCACGGCUUCUAGCCUCUGGAGCCACAGUCGCACGGCCUGGUCAUGCGUUUGCUUUUCCUCUGCAUCAGCCAAGACAGCUUGGAUCAUAGCAACAGAUCCUUUGAGGGUCUCCAAAUCCUCCUUGAAUUGGAAUAACUUGCCAAUCCUUUCAUUGGCAAGGGAAAGUGUCUUCUUCAAAGCUACCUCUAUUGUGGAAGCUAUAAGUACAUCAGCCAUUCUUCUUGUUCCUUGGGUACAGUCUUCAGAUAAGAAUACUCUUUUGCAGUGGAAGGUUUUAGCUGUAGUUAGAAGCAGCAAGGAACUGCUUUGACUCAAACGGAAGUGACAAGAGUUAUGAGGUUUUUUGGUGCAGCGCUUCUUUGACAAACUGGGUGGGAUGCUUUUGCAACGGAAAUUGCUUGGCAUUUUCAGUUGAAAAUAAAACAUAGUCAUUGCAGGGAUUCUACAUCUGCUUUUGAUCCACAUUCCACAUGCCUGGGGCCCCUGAUCGUGGAAAAUUCCACUCAAGAAGGAUGAGAAACUGUGCUGAACAAUGAAAGGUCCAAAAUAAUUGUUUAGAUAAUACAAAUUAAGCAGUUUCUUCUAAUUCAAAUUAAUGUUGCGCAUGUAUAGGAGUCACAAAAUGGUUUGGUGCACUAGCAAACAGAAGGGUACAUCUAAGGUUACUACGACAAGUUUUACGUUAAAGUGGGAGAUUUGUAAACCAAUUCAGGGUAAAACAAAUGAUAUGUUGAGGAAAAAAUAUGUUAGUUGCAAUGCAAUCAUAAAAGCUAUGAUACAUUUGUGAAAAGAAGAAACAUUUAUUAAUUUAGUGCAGUCUAAUUGGAAACUAGAAAAAAAAUAUACAUGAAUGAUCCGAAAGCGGGAACGGUAUCAUUUUACUCAAAUAAAAGUGUGAUCGAAUCGAGGAUUAGUUAAAUAAAAAAAUUAGAUUAAUAAUAUAAUACUUUUUUGUAUUUUUAUAUAAUGUAUAUGAGACAGAAUGGUGGCUGGUAAAAUUAAAAAAAAAGUGAUGGAAUAAGUAUAAAUUGUUUUUUUCAUAUAUUUAUCUAAUGAUAAUAGUGACAGGGUAAAAAAACAAAGGUGAUAACAAUGAUAAGUGUGGUGAGUACUUCUUGCAAUUGAUUGCAAUCUAUAUUUUACAUUAGGUAAAUUUGAAUGAAACUUUCAAUGAAUGAAACAUGUAUUGUGCUUUUGUGUUAAUUUUGCAUUAGGUUAAUUUUGUCUGCAUUUAAUAUCUCAGUGUAUACACGUCUAUUGUGUCAGCACCUAAAUUGCAUGGCAUGUAUGGCACUAAAUUUCCAGUUCACCUUUCCUACUUAAUGCCUUGCGAGGCCUCUACUCUGAUUGAGAAACCUUAAAACUGCUGGGGCCUUCUAUUGUGCAAAAAUCUCAACAAAAUAGUGGUCUGACCCAAGAAGCACAAGAAAGUAUUGUCCUUAACAAUUAGAAUGUUAAAGAAAAAAAAAAAGGGAAAUUGACAAUGAUGCUGUGAUUUUGGCUACAUUAUUCAUCUCAUUUUUCUAGUUCCGGAGAAACAAAUAAAAAGAUUUCACUAAGUUUGCUUUUUGUAAUGUACCGCGCUGGGCUUUGUCAAAUGCCCCAUUUUUUGCUAGAAUUACUUAUUUUGCUUCUCAUUUGGUUCUAUUAUACUGUACAGAAUUAUAUGUAUAUAACGUGGAUUGUCAUCUUAAGAAUCAAGAUUGCCAAUCUGAUCACGUAAAUUGGCCAGAAAUUGGUUGCAAUUGGCUGCAUGUAAUGCCUUGAAUCGAAAAUGGCUACCAUUUCAAUCCAUAGAAAUAUGUUGAAGGAAACUGGACUGCAACAUGUACUAAUAAGAAUCAGAUAUGACGAUUCUUGAUUGCUUAAGAAAAUCCUUGUAUAUUUGGUUAUUUGACACAGGAAGUCAAUAUGCUUCAAAUGAAACAGUGAAUCCAACAAAUAAGGCAUGGCAAGCUGUGAUUAAUGCCAUACAAACCUGAGUUUCAUUAAAUUAACAGAGAGGAUAGUGAAGAGCAGAGCCAUUCCUAAAUGCCAAAGAGACAGAGAGAUUAUAAAGAUGAUCAACUAACUAAUCAUACCCUUCAACACGAAUAGCCAAAUAUCUGAGGUUUGAGAAAUGACAGCAAUUGUUGCAGUCAAGCAAUAGAAAUGAUAGGGGGGACUACACAUCCAAAAGAAGGCACAGCAAUAUGAUCAGUGUGGAACAAAAUUUGCAUUAUAAACUAAUUCAGAGCCAGCUACAACGUCACAGAAUAACAGGCAAUAGACCUGAAACUUCCAAUACUGGGAUAACAACACUUUUUCUGCCCUACUUGGUCCGACCAGGGACAAAAGGACAUCUGGCCAAAUUAAAACAGAGAGGGACUUAUCCGAGAACUAAGUAGAAACUGCUGAAACUAGUCACAUUGCUCGAAAAUUCAAAAAGAACCAAAAAAAAAAAUGAGAAAGAAGAAGGGAAAAAGGAACUGCUUAGAAUCAGAGAGAGAAGAGGGACUUCUGAGAGCAGCACUAAUCGGCGGGAACUCUGACAAUCUGACAAGUGGAUGGCAAAGACAGCACUAAUUGGCGGGGACAACACCAAUCCCUUCCCUUUUGUGUAGAAAUAAGUUCAUCUGAAAGUUUUUAUUAUUUUUAGGUAACUAAUUAUGAUUAUUACUGCUACUACUACUUUCUGUACUGAUACAGACAUGAGAUGAUUUACUUAUAUUGGCCGUCAAAGUCUUAGAGGCAUAGAAAAGUAGAAAUGCUUUAAUUGUCACAUAGGAUUUGAGCUAGCAAUGAAUAGGAUUUGAAGCCAAGAUGUGUAAGAUCCAUGUCACAUUAUUGCUUCAUUGAACAAUAUUGACGUACAAGGAGACAAGUCCACAUAGAAGUAAUUUUGCAAUUAGAUGCUAUGCAAAAUGUCAGUUUGAUGAACUAAGGUUGAGCUUGUAUGUUCCUAUAUAAUCCUGUUCAAUUGAUUUCCAUAAUUUCAUCUCUCCAACGUUCCCAUCCACCAAGUGGAUCCUUCUUGAAUAGAAAUUGGUGCCUUAGCAAUUCAGUUUUCUCUCAAAUUAACAUAAAUAGAAGGGCUCAAUCUGACUGAUUCUUUGUUGUCUGAGUCCUGUCUGAGCUUUACAGAUACAAGGAGCAAUGGAAAAGUUCCAUCCGACACAACCUGUAGUCAACUGCAGAACACUUGAGAAAAAAUAUGUUGCCUGUUAUAGAGCUAAGAUACAACUUCAAGAAGGAUGCAAGCAGCUAUCAGGGUUCAGCUAAUCCACAUCUUUCUGCUGCAAAAUACUGGCUACUUUGAACUACAAGCACCACAGAAGAUAUGGCAAAUUGAGUUCCAAAAGAAGUAAAAGAACACCUCAUUAACAUGUCUACAAAUUGCUGAAUGGUUGGACAGUUUAAAAUCACGAGCCAACAAGGAAGAUCUCAGGCUUUAGCCAUC